UCCGGGUCAUGUACACAGAACAGCGGCUGGGGCUUUCCAGGGGACUUCUGAGCAAGCCAGUGAAAGCUGAGGUGUUGGUUCCACAGUCUAGUCCCUCUUGGGGAAACGUUUGUUCCCUCCAGGAGAUGGCUGGGCUAGAGAACUCCUUCAACAGCUCGGCUUGGGAUGGAGAGUGAUGAUCUGUUCCCUCAGAGCUUGAUGGUGCAAGUGAACACACUCCUGGUGGGGAGCUGUUGAGUGGAUGUGACAACUAUCUGAGACAGAGCCCAGUGCAGGAACCUCCACUAGCAAGGUGGCGCUCCCCCAGCAGGAAGGUUCUGGGCAUCACCCCCAAUGUUGACUAAUUGUGAAGACGGUGUAUGCAUCGCAAUUGUCACACCCAUCAUAUUCAAACUGGUCUAUGGUCUGAAAAGGAAAAAAAAAGUGAGUAUGAGUAAAACAACGUAUUAGUAUUUCGACAAAGUCAAUCCCUUCCUUCCCUAUAUAACCCAACACCUACUGCUCUCCAAACUAUUCCUAAACUCCACCUUCACACCUUUUUGCUCUCGUUCCUAACUCGGCUUAUACAUUUUCUCUAGUCUCUUUGGGGUCAGGUACCCUCUCCGGCUACUCUCUCUGCUGCUUUGGCACCAAGCGUCUUCUCAGUCCAACACAGCAUGUUUACCGAACGUCUGUUGGGGCGACAAACCUGUGCUAGGUUAAGCUGAGAGCUGAAACACAGCCCUCAGCAGGCACAGACGCCCAGCUCACGCUCCCUGGACGUUAACAACGGCUUCCUUAGGCUUCCCAUUCACUGACUCUCAGUCCUUUUCUUUCCUGUGUCUGAAUCCAUUUCACUCUCUUUCUCCAAUUUUGCCUCCCCAAUUGCUCCUACAAACAAGGCCCCGACAGAUACCUUGACUAAGGAGCACAGCAAACAAGCCCGCAGAUGCCGCAGGUCCUUCGGCACCGUCUCCAGGGCCAUCCUCACCGAUAUGACAAUACAGGCUCCACCGCCACAGGAAGUAAACAGACCAUUACCCAGAAUGCCAGCCGCUUCCUUUAUGUA